rnacentral:rRNA from 1 species
AGAUUGAACGCUGGCGGCAGGCCUAACACAUGCAAGUCGAGCGGUAGAGAGGUGCUUGCAUCUCUUGAGAGCGGCGGACGGGUGAGUAAUGCCUAGGAAUCUGCCUAGUGGUGGGGGAUAACGUUCGGAAACGGACGCUAAUACCGCAUACGUCCUACGGGAGAAAGCGGAGGACCUUCGGGCCUCGCGCCAUUAGAUGAGCCUAGGUCGGAUUAGCUAGUUGGUGAGGUAAUGGCUCACCAAGGCGACGAUCCGUAACUGGUCUGAGAGGAUGAUCAGUCACAUGGAACUGAGACACGGUCCAGACUCCUACGGGAGCAGCAGUGGGAAUAGUUGGACAAGUGGGCGAAAGCCUGACUCCAGCCAUGCCGCGUGUGUGAAGAGUCUUAGGAUUGAAAGCAAGUUUAAGGUGGUAGGUAAGGUUAGUAACUUAAGUACGUUAGUCCUAAACGUUUUGAACGUUUAACCGAA